CCUACGGGAGGCAGCAGUGGGGGAUAUUGCACAAUGGGGGGAACCCUGAUGCAGCGACGCCGCGUGGGUGAAGGAGUAUUUCGGUAUGUAAAGCCCUAUCGGCAGGGAAGAAUUUAGACGGUACCUGACUCAGAAGCCCCGGCUAACUACGUGCCAGCAGCCGCGGUAAUACGUAGGGGGCAAGCGUUAUCCGGAUUCACUGGGUGGAAAGGGAGCGUAGACGGCCAGGCAAGCCUGGAGUGAAAGCCCGGGGCCCAACCCCGGGACUGCUCUGGGAACUGUCCGGCUGGAGUGCGGGAGGGGCAGGCGGAAUUCCUGGUGUAGCGGUGAAAUGCGUAGAUAUCAGGAGGAACACCGGCGGCGAAGGCGGCCUGCUGGACCGCGACUGACGUUGAGGCUCGAAAGCGUGGGGAGCGAACAGGAUUAGAUACCCCAGUAGUC
rnacentral:rRNA from 1 species